GACAAUCCUUUAUCCCAAAAAAACCUGAAUUUCAGUAGAAUAUUUAGAGGCUGUAGUUUUACUAUUCAACUAAUCUAUUGUUUUCAGUCAAAGCAUGGCACAACGUAUUUUUAUUGACCAGAAUUAUAUACCCCAUGCAUUAGGAUUUUUUCUUAAUGCCAUAGUAAUUUUCUUCCCUGUUUUUCCUGUGCUAAUUUCUACAGCUGGAUUGACUUGUCAUCUUGAAAUCUAAAUAUUAAAGAGAACUAAGAUGGUUUAUACAAAGCAAGAAAGUGUACUUUAAAAAUGCUGAAUCAAAUUUUUAAAACACAGGAGUCAAAAAUUUGCUUUGC
rnacentral:lncRNA from 1 species